AUGGAAUUCUGGGAUCUCAGAUUAUUUAACCAAGCCCUCUUAGCCAAACAAGCGUGGAGGUUAUUGGUUCAUCCGGAUUCGUUGUGUGCUAAGCUGAUGAAGGCAAAGUAUUACCCUCAUGGACAUAUUCUUGAUACAGUGUUUCCUCAGUCUGCGUCAGUGACUUGGCAGGGUAUUAUGCAUGGUCUGGAAUUGCUUAAGAAUGGGGUCAUUUGGCGGGUGGGAGAUGGAUCUAGCAUUAAUAUUUGGAGGGAUAAUUGGUUACCCAGGAACACUGGACUUAAAAUCUCAGCUAAAAGGCACAAUACUAGAUUGAAGUGGGUCUCUGAUUUGUUCUUGAGUGGGAGAAAGGCAUGGGAUGAAAAUUUGAUCAUGUAUCUUUUCUAUCCCCAUGAUGCAGAGGAGGUUCUUAAGAUUCGUAUUCAUGCUUAUGUGGAUGGGGAUUUUAUUACGUGGCACUAUGAGAAUAAUGGUAUAUUUUCCGUUAAAAGU
rnacentral:rRNA from 1 species